CUGCUGAUGGGUGCCCGCCAAGUGCUUUGAAUACCUAUCAGCAUGCAUGGCUCAGCUCGUCUGCUUUGUUAUCAGAUAAUAUUCUAUAAGAAUGUAAGUCGGUAAAACAAUAGUCGAAAAGAAGUAAUAAUUGGAUAAACAGCCUAGUGUUACUGAAGCUGGAUCGGUUCAUUACUGCCUUCAUCGUGCGCUGAGAUAUAGAGAGCAAAAUCAUAAAUCAUACUCGAGGUACGAGAGUAGUACAGUUCGAGAGAAGAGCUGAUAGAGGUGUAUAGCACGAAGCUUGAAGAACAGCCUUGGAAAGAGAGUAAAGUGUCUUCCUUAACAGUGAGUAGGUUCAGAAAUGUUUUUUUCUUACAUCGGCACCGUGUUUGGGAUUACAGUCCUUCAACUGUUAUCACAAAGCUCCGUCCAUGGUAAGUAUAUUAUCCAAUAAUCGAUAAUAGUCUUAAACAGCGGCCGCCGAGGCAAGGCUGGCUUUAUUGGAUUCGAUUCCGGAAAGUGAAGCUUGCGACAUUAGCCACACAAAUAUAUUCUUCAAAAAUUUAAAAACAUAUAUUAUGAGAAAGGAGAAAUAUGACUGCGCAAAUGAAAAAGAAAGAACAACAAAAAAAGAAAAGAAAAAAAAAGGGGAAAA